CCAAAUUAAUUUUUAUAUUGAACCAGAUCAAAUCUAAUUCAAAUCUCUAAAAUAAGUGGUAUGAGAUUACUUCCCUUAGAUGUAAAAAUCAUAAAAAAAAAUUAUCUGAAAUUAAUUAGUGGGCGUGGGCUUUGAAUUUCUUAGGUGGCGCAAGAGAAGAUGGAAUCCUAGUCUAACUAGGAUUCUUAUUUAGAUUAGGUCAAAU
rnacentral:lncRNA from 1 species